rnacentral:lncRNA from 1 species
UUCUACACUCAUAGAGAAUUCCAAAGAGGUAACAUGCAUUGCUAUCGGAGGUCGUUUGACCUCCUAAAUAAUUCGCCGAAGUUGGAACUUCGAUACAGUUUUUCCGUAGUGCCGGAAAAAUUUGUCAAAAUCUGAUUCUUCCUCUUUUAACCGCCUCUACAACCCUUAUCCGACCCCUCUAGACUAUAUCCACCCUUUGUAUAGCCUAAUGUCAUCAAAAGACUAGAUAGGGACGGAUAUUUACCUUUUUCUUUUUGGAAAUCGAGGUCCUUGCGUAGAGGAGAAGGAGAUCUACAUUUUUCCCUUCAGCUGAAAGUGCACCCGGGAUUCCUUUCCCUUUCUUUUUCUUCUUCUUCUUCCUCUUCUUUUCUUCCUUUCCUUUCCUCUUCUUCUUUUUCUUCCUCUCUAUCGCCUGA